GAUGAACGCUGGCGGCGUGCCUAAUACAUGCAAGUCGAGCGAACAGACGAGGAGCUUGCUCCUCUGACGUUAGCGGCGGACGGGUGAGUAACACGUGGAUAACCUACCUAUAAGACUGGGAUAACUUCGGGAAACCGGAGCUAAUACCGGAUAAUAUAUUGAACCGCAUGGUUCAAUAGUGAAAGACGGUUUUGCUGUCACUUAUAGAUGGAUCCGCGCCGCAUUAGCUAGUUGGUAAGGUAACGGCUUACCAAGGCAACGAUGCGUAGCCGACCUGAGAGGGUGAUCGGCCACACUGGAACUGAGACACGGUCCAGACUCCGACGGGAGGCAGCAGUAGGGAAUCUUCCGCAAUGGGCGAAAGCCUGACGGAGCAACGCCGCGUGAGUGAGGAAGGUCUUCGGAUCGUAAAACUCUGUUAUUAGGGAAGAACAAAUGUGUAAGUAACUAUGCACGUCUUGACGGUACCUAAUCAGAAAGCCACGGCUAACUACGU
rnacentral:rRNA from 1 species